rnacentral:tRNA from 1 species
GCGCUGGUGGUGUAAGGCGAACAUCGCUGCCCGGAAAGCAGAAGAUGCGGGUUCAGUUCUGCCUGGCGCA